AACGAACGCUGGCGGCAGGCUUAACACAUGCAAGUCGAGCGCCCCGCAAGGGGAGCGGCAGACGGGUGAGUAACGCGUGGGAAUCUACCCUUUUCUACGGAAUAACGCAUGGAAACUGGUGCUAAUACCGUAUACGCCCUUCGGGGGAAAGAGUGAUCGGGAAAGGAUGAGGCCGCGUUUGAUUAGCUAGUUGGUGGGGUAAAGGCCUACCAAGGCGACGAUCCAUAGCUGGUCUGAGAUGAUGAUCAGCGACAUUCGGACUGAGGCACGGCCCAAACUCCUACGGGAGGGAGCAGCGGGGAAUAUAGGACAAUGGGCCCAAGCCUGAUCCAGCCAUGCCGCGUGAGUGAUGAAGGCCCUAGGGUUGUAAAGCUCUUUCACCGGUGAAGAUAAUGACGGUAACCGGAGAAGAAGCCCCGGCUAACUUCGUGCCAGCCGCCGCAGUAAGAC
rnacentral:rRNA from 1 species